rnacentral:rRNA from 1 species
GGCGCACGGGUGAGUAUACCAUAGAUAAUGUACCUCUUAGUUUGGGAUAGCCACUGGAAACGGUGAUUAAUACCAGAUACUCCUUCUCAUUAUAAGAUGAGUCGGGAAAGUUUUUUCGCUAAGAGAUCAGUCUAUGUCCUAUCAGCUAGUUGGUGAGGUAAUGGCUCACCAAGGCUAUGACGGGUAUCUGGUUUGAGAGGAUGAUCAGACACACUGGAACUGAGACACGGUCCAGACUCCUACGGGAGGCAGCAGUGAGGAAUAUUGCACAAUGGAGGAAACUCUGAUGCAGCAACGCCGCGUGGAGGAUGACGCAUUUCGGUGUGUAAACUCCUUUUAAGAGGGAAGAUAAUGACGGUACCUCUUGAAUAAGCACCGGCUAACUCCGUGCCAGCAGCCGCGGUAAUACGGAGGGUGCAAGCGUUACUCGGAAUCACUGGGCGUAAAGGGUGCGUAGGCUGGCUUCUAAGUCAGAUGUGAAAUCCAAUGGCUUAACCAUUGAACUGCAUUUGAAACUGGGAGCCUAGAGUUCAGAAGGGGCAGAUGGAAUUAGUGGUGUAGGGGUAAAAUCCGUAGAUAUCACUAGGAAUAUCAAAAGCGAAGGCGAUCUGCUGGGAUGAUACUGACGCUGAGGCACGAAAGCGUGGGGAGCAAACAGGAUUAGAUACCCUGGUAGUCCACGCCCUAAACGAUGAAUGCUAGUCGUCGGGGAGCUCGUCUCUUCGGUGAUGCACUUAACAGAUUAAGCAUUCCGCCUGGGGAGUACGGUCGCAAGAUUAAAACUCAAAGGAAUAGACGGGGACCCGCACAAGUGGUGGAGCAUGUGGUUUAAUUCGAAGAUACACGAAGAACCUUACCUGGCCUUGACAUGGUAGGAACCCUUAAGAGAUUAGGGGGUGCUAGCUUGCUAGAACCUACACACAGGUGCUGCACGGCUGUCGUCAGCUCGUGUCGUGAGAUGUUGGGGUUAAGUCCCGCAACGAGCGCAACCCUCGUCUU